GGCUUGGUGGCGGAUGGUCCGCAUCUGAAACUUGUGGCUUGUAAAAGGUGAUGGAUUACGUAGAUGGUUGCUCGUUCAAAUCGAGCCUGAGCCA